rnacentral:rRNA from 1 species
AGCAGCCGCGGUAAUUCCAGCUCCAAUAGCGUAUAUUAAAGUUGUUGCAGUUAAAAAGCUCGUAGUUGAAUUUCGGGGUCAGCAAGUUGGUCGUGCCACUGGUAUGUACUGGCUUUGCUGAUUCCUCCUUCUUGAAGAACUGUGAUGCUAUUAAUUUGGUGUUGCAGGGAAACAGGACUGUUACUUUGAAAAAAUUGAGUGUUUAAAGCAGGCUAACGCUUGAAUACAUUAGCAUGGAAUAAUGAAAUAGGACGUUUGAUCCUAUUUUGUUGGUUUCUAGGGUUGACGUAAUGAUUAAUAGGGAUAGUUGGGGGCAUUAGUAUUCAAUUGUCAGAGGUGAAAUUCUUGGAUUUAUUGAAGACUAACUACUGCGAAAGCAUUUGCCAAGGAUGUUUUCAUUAAUCAAGAACGAAAGUUAGGGGAUCGAAGACGAUCAGAUACCGUCGUAGU